rnacentral:misc_RNA from 1 species
GAGCGCGCUAUGGACUGUCGCUGGCAUUCAUUUGCAUGUGCACGUCCUGUUCUUCCCUUUCGCUUUCUUUCUGUCAACCUUUUUCUCUAAUCAAUUUACACCUGUGCACCCAUCGUAGUUCCUCGAAAGAGGUUCUAUGUCUUUUACCAUCACAUUCCUUCGUAUGUCCAUAGAAUGUUAUACAUGGCCAUCGAUCAAGCUUCGUCUUGGUCGGCUGGUCUAUAUAAACCAAUAUACAACUUUCAGCAACGGAUCUCUUGGCUCUCGCAUCGAUGAAGAACGCAGCGAAUUGCGAUAAGUAAUGUGAAUUGCAGAUUUCCAGUGAAUCAUCGAAUCUUUGAACGCACCUUGCGCUCCUUGGUAUUCCGAGGAGCAUGCCUGUUUGAGUGUCAUUUUUAUUAUCAACCAUGUCUCGAUUCAUUUCGAUACAUCGGCUUGGACUU